GCGGGAGUGGCGAAAUGGCAGACGCGCACGCUUGAGGGGCGUGUGGGUAACACCGUGUGGGUUCAAGUCCCAUCUCCCGCACCA
rnacentral:tRNA from 2 species